rnacentral:lncRNA from 10 species
AGGGUAGACGAGGCCAGACGGGGAAAGGGCUCAGAGAGCGCCAGAGACCCAAGUUGAGGAACAGCCUAUAAAAUAACUGGCCUGUACUCUUACAUACAUGAAAGCCAUCAAAGACAAAGACUGAAGAAGAACUUUUGCAGAUUAAAGGACUUUAAGAGACAUGAUCCUGAACCAGAAAAAGUAAAAAAUAAAAAAAUAAAAAGAUCUGUAGAUUAGAUAAUAGUUUUAUAUCCAUGUUAAUUUCCCAUUUGUUGUAAUAUUACUGUGGUUGGGCAAGAGAGUGUCUUUGUUGGUGGAAGUAUCUACUGAAGUAUUUAGGGGUAAAGAGGAAUCAUGUCUGUAACUUAUGCUCAAAAGGUUCAGACAAAAUAUAUGUAAAGGGAAUGAUAAAGCAAACGCAAUAAAAUGUUAACAUUGGGGAAUCUGUAUAAGGGAAUUAUUAACUUUUCUGUAAGUCUAAAAUUAUUUCAAAUUAAAAAUAAUUUUUUUAAGCCU